rnacentral:rRNA from 1 species
GACGAACGCUGGCGGCGUGCCUAAUACAUGCAAGUUGAGCGCUGAAGGUUGGUACUUGUACCGACUGGAUGAGCAGCGAACGGGUGAGUAACGCGUGGGGAAUCUGCCUUUGAGCGGGGGACAACAUUUGGAAACGAAUGCUAAUACCGCAUAAAAACUUUAAACACAAGUUUUAAGUUUGAAAGAUGCAAUUGCAUCACUCAAAGAUGAUCCCGCGUUGUAUUAGCUAGUUGGUGAGGUAAAGGCUCACCAAGGCGAUGAUACAUAGCCGACCUGAGAGGGUGAUCGGCCACAUUGGGACUGAGACACGGCCCAAACUCCUACGGGAGGCAGCAGUAGGGAAUCUUCGGCAAUGGACGAAAGUCUGACCGAGCAACGCCGCGUGAGUGAAGAAGGUUUUCGGACCGUAAAACUCUGUUGGUAGAGAAGAACGUUAGUGAGAGUGGAAAGCUCAUCAAGUGACGGUAACUACCCAGAAAGGGACGGCUAACUACGUG